rnacentral:rRNA from 1 species
GACGAACGCUGGCGGCGUGCUUAACACAUGCAAGUCGAACGAUGAAGAAAAGAAUCGAAGCUUCGGCAGAAAUUCAUUUCGGAUUAGUGGCAGACGGGUGAGUAACGCGUGAGCAACCUACCUCUUACAAAGGGAUAGCCUCGGGAAACCGGGAUUAAUACCAUAUAACAUUGCGACGAAGCAUUUCGAUGCAAUCAAAGCUACGGCGGUAAGAGAUGGGCUCGCGUCCCAUUAACCGGAUGGUGAGGUAACGGCUCACCAUAGUGACGAUGGGUAACCGGGCUGAGAGGGUGAACGGUCACACUGGAACUGAGACACGGUCCAGACUCCUACGGGAGGCAGCAGUGGGGAAUAUUGCACAAUGGAGGGAACUCUGAUGCAGCGACGCCGCGUGAGUGAUGAAGGAAUUCGUUUCGUAAAACUCUGUUCUAUGGGAAGAAAAGGACUGUACCAUAGGAGAAAGCCCCGGCUAAAUACGUG